rnacentral:rRNA from 1 species
AACGGACGCUGGCGGCGUGCCUAACACAUGCAAGUCGAGCGCGAAUGGAGCAAUCCUAGUAGAGCGGCGCACGGGUGCGUAACACGUGGGUAAUCUGCCUCAAAGACUGGGAUAACCUGCCGAAAGGCUGGCUAAUACCAGAUAAGCUUAUGGGUUCUCUGGAACCUGCAGGAAAAGGUGGCCUCUGCAUGCAAGCUACCACUUUGAGAUGAGCCCGCGGCCCAUCAGCUAGUUGGCGGGGUAAUGGCCCACCAAGGCUACGACGGGUAGCUGGUCUGAGAGGACGAUCAGCCACACUGGAACUGAGACACGGUCCAGACUCCUACGGGAGGCCAGCAGUGGGGAAUUUUGCACAAUGGGCGAAAGCCUGAUGCAGCAACGCCGCGUGUGUGAUGAAGGUCUUCGG